GACGAACGCUGGCGGCGUGCUUAACACAUGCAAGUCGAACGAUGAAGCCGCUUCGGUGGUGGAUUAGUGGCGAACGGGUGAGUAACACGUGGGUAAUCUGCCCUGCACUCUGGGAUAAGCCUUGGAAACGAGGUCUAAUACCGGAUACGACACACGAAGGCAUCUUCUGUGUGUGGAAAGUUCCGGCGGUGCAGGAUGAGCCCGCGGCCUAUCAGCUUGUUGGUGGGGUAGUGGCCUACCAAGGCGACGACGGGUAGCCGGCCUGAGAGGGUGACCGGCCACACUGGGACUGAGACACGGCCCAGACUCCUACGGGAGGCAGCAGUGGGGAAUCUUGCGCAAUGGGCGAAAGCCUGACGCAGCAACGCCGCGUGGGGGAUGACGGCCUUCGGGUUGUAAACCUCUUUCGACAGGGACGAAGCUUUCGGGUGACGGUACCUGUAGAAGAAGCACCGGCUAACUACGUGCCAGCCGCCGCCGUAAUAC
rnacentral:rRNA from 1 species